AUUGAACGCUGGCGGCAGGCCUAACACAUGCAAGUCGAACGAGCGGCGGACGGGUGAGUAAUGUAUGGGGACUCCCCGAUAGCGGGGGAUAACUACUGGAAACGGUAUCUACUAACGCAUACUAUCGGAUAACCCAUAUGGGAUUAGCUAUUGGGUGAGGUAAUGUCUCACCUAGGCGACGCUCCCUAGCUGGUCUGAGAGGAUGAUCAGCCACACUGGGACGGAGACACGGUCCAGAAUCCUACGGAGGCAGCAGUGGGGAAUAUUGCACAAUGGGGGCAAGCCUGAUGCAGCCAUGCCGCGUGUAUGAAGAAGGCCUUAGGGUUGUAAAGUACUUUCAGUGGGGAGGCGUUACCGACAGAAGAAGCACCGGCUAACUCCGUGCCAGCAGCCGCGGUAAUUC
rnacentral:rRNA from 1 species